rnacentral:lncRNA from 1 species
GAGGACAUCCUCCACUAUUACUCGUUGGCAAAGACGCAAUUGGCCCAGUUGACCCAAUUGUAGUCGGACGGCGACCGUGUGAGCCUCAGAAUUAUCCCACCUCGCUUAACUUGGGAGGAGGAAGCCACUUUAAAAGGGAGAGCAACCCUUCCCCCAUUGGACUAGUCUUUUGGGGCGAUUGGGCCUUUCCCUGAGUUGGGUGUGCUUAAUGAACUGUUGGGCUCCGGGCAACCCUAAUUUGUUGGUCCUCGGCCAACCCCACCUGGGCUGGGUGUAUCAUCUGGUAUCAGAGCUAGGGCCCAUUUUAAGAAGGUGGGAAUGAUGAGGACAUCCUCCACUAUUACCCGUUGGCAAAGACGCAAUUGGCCCAGUUAGCCCAAUUGUAGUCAAACGGCGACCGUGUGAGCCUCAGAAUUAUCCCACCUCGCUUAACUUGGGAGGAGGAAGCCACUUUAAAAGGGAGAGCCACCCUUCCCCCAUUAGACUAGUCUUUUGGGGCGAUUGGGCCUUUCCCUGAGUUGGGUGUGCUUAAUGAACUGUUGGGCUCCGGGCAACCCUAAUUUGUUGGGCCUCGGCCAACCCCACCUGGGCUUGGUGUAUCACUUACUAGUAGGAAACAAGUCCCCACUUUAAGGUUCUACCCUUGAGCUAUAAAAGGGCAGGACCCCCUCCUUCCCACACACACACAACAUAUGUAAUACGUCUCUCAGAGUAAUACUACGAUCAACACUACACUUGUAACACCCCUGGUGUUAUAAGAACUAAAACUUGAGCAUGACAUCAUAUGCAUUGACAUUUCAUUAUGUUUGUUACACCUAGAAUGCAUCCACUAGGCUAAAACUUCAAAACAAGUGUGAUGUGGUGACUUGAAGUGUUUCUUAACCCUAGAGUAGGGUACUUAACCAUGGGAUUGAGGUAUAUGGGUGUGUGUGUGAGGCCAAAUUGAGUAUUACCUCAAAAGUUAUUGGAAAUGUUCAUAAGAGACUAAAUUUGAUGGAUUUGAGUGGCACACAAACCCUAGAGCACUCAAAACCCUAAUGAGAACCCUAGAAACCCUAAUUUGUGCCCUAUAUGGUGAUUUUGAUUUCUAGGCACUUUUGGACCAAAGUGUCUAUAUCAAAGUGGUAGAAUAUCACAAACCAAGC